GAUGAACGCUAGCGAUAGGCUUAACACAUGCCAGUCGAGGGGCAGCACAAGGUAGCUUGCUAUCUGGGUGGCGACCGGCGCACGGGUGCGUAACGCGUAUGCAACUUGCCCUAUACAGGAGGAUAACCCGUCGAAAGACGGACUAAUACUGCGUAUGCUCACAACUUGGCAUCAAGUGGUGAGGAAAGAAAUUCGGUAUAGGAUAGGCAUGCGUCCCAUUAGCUUGUUGGUGAGGUAACGGCUCACCAAGGCAACGAUGGGUAGGGGAACUGAGAGGUUUAUCCCCCACACUGGUACUGAGACACGGACCAGACUCCUACGGGAGGCAGCAGUGAGGAAUACUGGUCAAUGGGCGCGAGCCUGAACCAGCCAAGUCGCGUGAAGGAGGACUGUCUUAUGGAUUGUAAACUUCUUUUAUACGGGAAUAACAAGAGUCACGUGUGACUCCCUGCAUGUACCGUAUGAAUAAGCAUCGGCUAACUCCGUG
rnacentral:rRNA from 1 species